UACGAAGGGGGCUAGCGUUGCUCGGAAUCACUGGGCGUAAAGCGCACGUAGGCGGAUCUUUAAGUCAGGGGUGAAAUCCUGGAGCUCAACUCCAGAACUGCCUUUGAUACUGGGGAUCUCGAGUCCGGGAGAGGUGAGUGGAACUCCGAGUGUAGAGGUGAAAUUCGUAGAUAUUCGGAAGAACACCAGUGGCGAAGGCGGCUCACUGGCCCGGUACUGACGCUGAGGAGCGAAAGCGUGGGGAGCGAACAGG
rnacentral:rRNA from 1 species